CAGAGGAUUGAACAAAUAGAACAGCCUUUCAUGAAAAUAGACUGUGAAUCAGUGGGCAGAACUGAAUGGGAUGGCUUCUGCACAUAUCUGCAGCUCGAGUAUUCAGAGCAAGCGGAUGCUUUGGCCCGACAGAAAGAGGUUUCCUUCCAUCUGCCUGCUGUGCUGCUGAAGUUGAAAAGAAGAAAGAGAGUUUCUGUGUGUGAUUUUCAUUUGAUAAGGAUGCUGAGUGCUCCAGUUUGAUUUUAUUUGCUAUUUUAAACUGCUCUUCAAGUGGCAUGAUUACAGAAAUUGUGUCCUUGAAUGUAAUAUAUUCACGUUGUCUUUUGCUAGUCUAUAGAAUGCAAAUAAAAUAUGAUCUCUA